rnacentral:rRNA from 1 species
AGAUUGAACGCUGGCGGCAGGCCUAACACAUGCAAGUCGAGCGGUAGAGAGGUGCUUGCACCUCUUGAGAGCGGCGGACGGUGAGUAAUGCCUAGGAAUCUGCCUAGUGGUGGGGGAUAACGUUCGGAAACGGACGCUAAUACCGCAUACGUCCUACGGGAGAAAGCGGGGGACCUUCGGGCCUCGCGCCAUUAGAUGAGCCUAGGUCGAUUAGCUAGUUGGUGGGU